rnacentral:rRNA from 1 species
CCUACGGGAGGCAGCAGUGGGGAAUAUUGCACAAUGGGCGCAAGCCUGAUGCAGCGACGCCGCGUGAGGGAUGACGGCCUUCGGGUUGUAAACCCCUUUCAGUAGGGAAGAAGCGAAAGUGACGGUACCUGCAGAAGAAGCGCCGGCUAACUACGUGCCAGUAGCCGCGGUAAUACGUAGGGCGCAAGCGUUAUCCGGAAUUAUUGGGCGUAAAGAGCCCGUAGGCGGUUUGUCGCGUCUGCCGUGAAAGUCCGGGGCUCAACUCCGGAUCUGCGGUGGGUACGGGCAGACUAGAGUGAUGUAGGGGAGACUGGAAUUCCUGGUGUAGCGGUGAAAUGCGCAGAUAUCAGGAGGAACACCGAUGGCGAAGGCAGGUCUCUGGGCAUUAACUGACGCUGAGGAGCGAAAGCAUGGGGAGCGAACAGGAUUAGAUACCCUGGUAGUCCAUGCCGUAAACGUUGGGCACUAGGUGUGGGGGACAUUCCACGUUUUCCGCGCCGUAGCUAACGCUAUUAGUCCGCCCGCGGAGGGUACGCCGGCCGACGACGAACUUAAACGUAAAGUAGUACGGCGUCGAGAGACGCGACGACGACGACGACGGAGGAG